CGGUCCACGUACAUGAUUUCAGGGGUGCCUCACCAGCUCUUCGUUACCUCUCCAUGAGGCCUUCAGCCAUCGGACGCAGUUUUUCCAGGGAUUCCUCAUGGGUUAGGACCGAUGUGAGGAUCUGCCCCAGUUCAUUUGCCACACUGGUGGACAUUUUACCUUCUUGGUGGAGUCGUAUUUUAAGACCUUCCCGAACGUGGACGUGAUCUGCAUCCUGUAGUCCUCAAUAUUUUCAGCCUCUGCAAGAAAAAGAGCUUUCCUCAGCAGCUUUGGUGAUGGCAGCUCUCUCCUUGGUGGUGGAAGCUUAAAUUGUUGGGACAAAUUUCCUGAAAGCAGAAAAAAUAUACGGAUGCAGACAGACUUCAAUGUUGAUGGUUGUCUGUACUGGCAGAGGAGGGUGGUGGACAAGUCCUUCGGUGCAGGUACUCCUCACAGUGACUCUCCAGGACCUGUCUCCACACCUUAGUCAUGGUGUUGCCCUCGGUGCGAUGCCUCAUCAGGCGGAUCA